rnacentral:rRNA from 1 species
CCCUUAGAUGUUCUGGGCCGCACGCGCGCUACACUGACGGAGCCAACGAGUCUUUUCCUUGUCCGGAAGGACUGGGUAAUCUUGUGAAACUUCGUCGUGCUGGGGAUAGAGCAUUGCAAUUAUUGCUCUUCAACGAGGAAUUCCUAGUAAGCGUGAGUCAUCAGCUCGCGUUGAUUACGUCCCUGCCCUUUGUACACACCGCCCGUCGCUACUACCGAUUGAAUGGUUUAGUGAGACCCUCGGAUUCGUCCCAGCACAGUGGGUUUCUGCUGAGCUGGUGCGCGGAGAAGACGGUCGAACUUGAUCAUUUAGAGGAAGUAAAAGUCGUAACA